rnacentral:piRNA from 1 species
CUUGAAAAUAGGUGUAGUAAUGACAAA